rnacentral:rRNA from 1 species
UAGGGAAUCUUCGGCAAUGGGGGGAACCCUGACCGAGCAACGCCGCGUGAGUGAAGAAGGUUUUCGGAUCGUAAAGCUCUGUUGUUAAGGAAGAACGAGUGUGAGAAUGGAAAGUUCAUGCUGUGACGGUACUUAACCAGAAAGGGACGGCUAACUACGUGCCAGCAGCCGCGGUAAUACGUAGGUCCCGAGCGUUGUCCGGAUUUAUUGGGCGUAAAGCGAGCGCAGGCGGUUAGAAAAGUCUGAAGUGAAAGGCAGUGGCUCAACCAUUGUAGGCUUUGGAAACUGUUUAGCUUGAGUGCAGAAGGGGAGGGUGGAAUUCCAUGUGUAGCGGUGAAAUGCGUAGAUAUAUGGAGGAACACCGGUGGCGAAAGCGGCUCUCUGGUCUGUAACUGACGCUGAGGCUCGAAAGCGUGGGGAGCGAACAGG